AGAGUUUGAUCCUGGCUCAGGACGAACGCUGGCGGCGUGCCUAAUACAUGCAAGUCGAACGCUUCUUUUUCCACCGGAGCUUGCUCCACCGGAAAAAGAGGAGUGGCGAACGGGUGAGUAACACGUGGGUAACCUGCCCAUCAGAAGGGGAUAACACUUGGAAACAGGUGCUAAUACCGUAUAACAAUCGAAACCGCAUGGUUUUGAUUUGAAAGGCGCUUUCGGGUGUCGCUGAUGGAUGGACCCGCGGUGCAUUAGCUAGUUGGUGAGGUAACGGCUCACCAAGGCCACGAUGCAUAGCCGACCUGAGAGGGUGAUCGGCCACAUUGGGACUGAGACACGGCCCAAACUCCUACGGGAGGCAGCAGUAGGGAAUCUUCGGCAAUGGACGAAAGUCUGACCGAGCAACGCCGCGUGAGUGAAGAAGGUUUUCGGAUCGUAAAACUCUGUUGUUAGAGAAGAACAAGGAUGAGAGUAACUGUUCAUCCCUUGACGGUAUCUAACCAGAAAGCCACGGCUAACUACGUGCCAGCAGCCGCGGUAAUACGUAGGUGGCAAGCGUUGUCCGGAUUUAUUGGGCGUAAAGCGAGCGCAGGCGGUUUCUUAAGUCUGAUGUGAAAGCCCCCGGCUCAACCGGGGAGGGUCAUUGGAAACUGGGAGACUUGAGUGCAGAAGAGGAGAGUGGAAUUCCAUGUGUAGCGGUGAAAUGCGUAGAUAUAUGGAGGAACACCAGUGGCGAAGGCGGCUCUCUGGUCUGUAACUGACGCUGAGGCUCGAAAGCGUGGGGAGCAAACAGGAUUAGAUACCCUGGUAGUCCACGCCGUAAACGAUGAGUGCUAAGUGUUGGAGGGUUUCCGCCCUUCAGUG
rnacentral:rRNA from 1 species